GCUCCGGUCUUUGUCUUCAACUUGGUCAUCUCCUGGCUUCUGGUGCAGACUGUUCGGCUUCUGCCUGGGACUCUUCAGCCUUCUGGUAUAAGCUCUCCAGACUUCAUCAUAGAUUCUUCAACAUUCCGUUGCAGACCCAUCAGCCUCCUGACACAGACUUGCACGGACACUGCAGUGAGCUCCAGACCUGGGUCUGACCUCUUCAGUCUCCAGCCUGCAGACACCCUCUGCACGCUUCCUCAUCCAACUCUGUGGCUGACCAUUGUAAGCCAAACUUAUAAUUUCUUUAUAAGUACAGGGAAUAAGUUCUGUCCAACCUGAUAAAUGUUAUACACUUUUUUACUGAAAUCCCAGGCAGAUAAGUGCAGGGAAUGAUGUCAAAUAGUGCUCACAUGUUUUGACUUAGCAAUAUUACACUAGUUUCAAGGAUGGAUUUAAAUACCUCAUCAAUGUUGAUUUGAAUUCUCUUCAGAUUGGGGAGGGACUUUUAAAUUAUCUCUCCCAUUCAUCUCUGUUUUAAAAAAGAAAAACCACACAUCUCUCAGUAACAGCAGAUGCAAAUGGGUGAAGCUUGAGCCUCAAAUAUGAGUCACUUUCUCACAUCAUCACUUGUAGCUGGAAAAUACUGAAGCCUCUUGGAUGCCAGGAGCAGACAGGACACCAGGAAAAAUCAGUCAUCUGAAUCUGUAGCCCAUGCACUGGGGCUCAGCUCUUCCACCUGGACCAGACCCCAGAGGCAGUAGAAACCAUAAACGGACACAGACACAAAAGUGCAGCCAAUUUACUCAGAAGUGGAGGAAUAUUCUUUAUGCACCAACCAAACAAACAUACAAACUGAAUCAGCUGAAGAAAAAGGUAAGGGUUAUUCACCUUCUCCGUCCUUUACAUUCUUAGCCUAUGUGUAUGCAAUUAAAGUAAUAUAAAUCAGAAACUACUGUUGUAAAUAACAACUUAGCUUGUGCCCUAUCUCAUAAGAUUGCCUGAACUACAUCCAAAUAUCUAAAUGAAAAGGAAAAACUGAAAACCAAAUGUCCAAAUUUAAUAUAUCACAAAGAAUAUUGGUGUAGUUAGGUUUCAUGUUCUAUAUAUGCAGCCAUAACUGGUCAAGUAGGACAACUAAAAUUUUCCAUUUGUUUGGAAACAGUUGUGAAGCUCCAAUUAUUGGACACUCAUUCUGUGAAAUUCCAUCAACAGUGUUUGAUUAGCAGUGUUUGAUGCACAUGUGUGAUUAUCAUUUUUUCUGCAUAUAACAGUGGCUAUUCUUUAUGAUGAAGAAAAGCAGAGCAACU
rnacentral:lncRNA from 1 species